CCUACGGUGGCUGCAGUGGGGAAUAUUGGACAAUGGGCGAAAGCCUGAUCCAGCCAUGCCGCGUGUGUGAAGAAGGCCUUCGGGUUGUAAAGCACUUUCAGUGGGGAAGAAAGCCUUGGGGCUAAUACCCUCGAGGAAGGACAUCACCCACAGAAGAAGCACCGGCUAACUCCGUGCCAGCAGCCGCGGUAAUACGGAGGGUGCGAGCGUUAAUCGGAAUUACUGGGCGUAAAGCGCGCGUAGGCGGUCUGAUAAGCCGGUUGUGAAAGCCCCGGGCUCAACCUGGGAACGGCAUCCGGAACUGUCAGGCUAGAGUGCAGGAGAGGAAGGUAGAAUUCCCGGUGUAGCGGUGAAAUGCGUAGAGAUCGGGAGGAAUACCAGUGGCGAAGGCGGCCUUCUGGAUUGACACUGACGCUGAGGUGCGAAAGCGUGGGUAGCAAACAGGAUUAGAUACCCUGGUAGUC
rnacentral:rRNA from 1 species